CUAGUUUGUCAUGAUCCUGGGUUUUUUACCCAGGGUUUUCAGUUUUGUACUGUGAGUCUUCUGUUUGAUUCUUUUUUUUGCAGUUUUCAGGCAAAUAUUACUUUUGCAUUGGUUGCUUUCUUUGUUCUCAGGUUUUUCCUUUCCUCCUAUGUUCUCUGUGCCUAGACUGUUUCUGUUAGGUCUCCUGUUUUUAGUUAGUUUUGUCUUUGUGUUUACUUUGGUCUGUCAAGUUUAAGUGUUUUAGUCCCUGUCUCAGCGUAUUAGGCUUCCUGUUUAAUGUUAUAGUCUCUCAUCUCAUGUGCAUUAUGUUCAGUUUUGCCUUCCCUCUUGGUCGUUAAUUGUUUCUGUUCACCUGUGCCUUGUUUUUACCCAGCUGCAUCUCUUUCCUUGAUUACCUCAUAUGUAUUUAAGCCCUCAGAUUUCCUUAGUUCUUUGUUGUGUUGUACUAUUUGUCCGAGUGAUCGCCUGCUUUCUUUCAUCACCUGGAUUUGUUAAAGUGCAUAGUGUGUUAUGUGUGUGCCAAAUGACGCAGCUCCCACAUGUUCCAGAUUAACCCAGUGCGCUCUUUUCCAGGAACUGCCUGCAUACUCUCAACUGUCCAUCACUGCUUUUGUUACUUGCUGAAGAUCAGGCCAGGUCUGCUGGGCUGGGGUCGGCAUGCGCUAAGCUUUAACAUCACUGUGGGUUCUUGGCUAACUUUGCAAAGAUCUGCACAGUCAGCAUGCUAACACAAAAAGCCCAAGUUCUGUUAGCAAUAUAAUGAAUUUGUUUCAGUCUUGGACACAUUUUUCACUUCACCAUUGUUCUCUUGUUCCUUUGUGCAGUAAAGAUAAAAAUAAUGUAAAAGCAGCAUUUUUUUUUUUAUCUGCCUGGCACACAAAACUGUAAUUACUGAAUUUAGUGCAGUAAUGUGUUACAUUACUGCUUUUACAAUCACACAUUACUUUAACAUUAUAAGUCAGAAAAGAUGAGAGGAAAAAUAUCAGUAGCCUUCGCCUGUAAAACCAUUCCUGUUUCGCUGGUUCUCAUUGUUGCCUCUGUUGCACCUGUUAUUAAUUAUAUUAACACCAAAAGAGCUGAGAGUGUUUAACAACCCUGUGCUACUUAACUCACCACAUCAAUAUCCCAGAUGUUUUCAGGGCUCUAGAGUGCGACCAAUUUGGUCGCAAAUGCGACCAAAUUUUUCAAUGGUGCGACU